rnacentral:rRNA from 1 species
GACGAACGCUGGCGGCGUGCUUAACACAUGCAAGUCGAACGAUGAAGCUGGAGCUUGCUCCGGUGGAUUAGUGGCGAACGGGUGAGUAACACGUGAGCAAUCUGCCCUUGACUCUGGGAUAACUGCGGGAAUCUGUAUCUAAUACCGGAUACUUUCACUGGAAGGCAUCUACUGGUCAAUGAAGAAUUUCGGUCAAGGAUGAGCUCGCGGCCUAUCAGCUUGUUGGUGAGGUAACGGCUAACCAAGGCGACGACGGGUGGCCGGCAUGUGGGGGUGACCGGCCACACUGGGACUGAGACACGGCCCAGACUCCUACGGGAGGCAGCAGUGGGGAAUAUUGCACAAUGGGCGCAAGCCUGAUGCAGCAACGCCGCGUGAGGGAUGAAGGCCUUCGGGUUGUAAACCUCUUUUAGCAGGGAAGAAGCGAAAGUGACGGUACCUGCAGAAAAAAGCACCGGCUAACUACGUGCCAGCAGCCGCCGUAA